rnacentral:misc_RNA from 1 species
CUGCUCCCCCGAUGUUUGGCAGCAAACCGCAUAAGGCGUUGGCUGCGACUGUCACCCUUGGAACCAGGAUCUCGAAAUGCGGCCUGAAGGUCCAUUGGCUGUCGAUGAUGAGACCCAGGGGGAGGGGCUCCUCUACGGUGGCGGCCGAACCACAUGGCCUCGGACUUGGCCGGCGACACGCUCAAACCGAGCAUCUGGAUGGCCCGCACCGCGCAUGCCACGGCUGUUUCGGUGAUGUUCAAGGUCUCGCACCAGCGGCGUCCCUCAGCCAAGACCAAGGUGUCGGCGGCGU